rnacentral:rRNA from 1 species
CCUACGGGGGGCAGCAGUGGGGAAUAUUGGACAAUGGGGGCAACCCUGAUCCAGCCAUGCCGCGUGUGUGAAGAAGGCCCUCGGGUUGUAAAGCACUUUCAGUGAGGAAGAACGCCUGGUGGUUAAUACCCAUCAGGAAAGACAUCACUCACAGAAGAAGCACCGGCUAACUCCGUGCCAGCAGCCGCGGUAAUACGGAGGGUGCGAGCGUUAAUCGGAAUUACUGGGCGUAAAGCGCGCGUAGGUGGCUUGAUAAGCCGGUUGUGAAAGCCCCGGGCUCAACCUGGGAACGGCAUCCGGAACUGUCAAGCUAGGGUGCAGGAGAGGAAGGUAGAAUUCCCGGUGUAGCGGUGAAAUGCGUAGAGAUCGGGGGGAGUACCAGUGGCGAAGGCGGCCUUGUGGACUGACACUGACAGUGAGGUGCGGAGGCGUGGGUAGCAAACAGGAUUAGAUACCCGGGUAGUC